AUAUAUAAUAUUAAUUAACCUUGUCAAAACUAGCAUGGACAAGGGGAAUCUGACUAUUUAAUUAAAACAAAGCAUUGUGAUGGUCCCUCUAGAUUUUGACGUAAUGUGAUUUCUGCCCAGUGAUUCACAUGUCAAAGUGAAUAAAUUCAACAAAUAACGAGUAAAUGGCAGGAGUAACUAUGACAUUCUUAAGGUAUUCAGAUGCCUCGUCAUCUAAUUAGUAAUGUGCAUGAAUGGAUUAACGAGAUUCCCACUAUCUGUAGAUACUAUCUAUAGAAACCACAUCCAAGGGAAUGGGAUUGG
rnacentral:ncRNA from 1 species